rnacentral:rRNA from 1 species
CCUACGGGAGGCAGCAGUGAGGAAUAUUGGUCAAUGGACGAGAGUCUGAACCAGCCAAGUAGCGUGAAGGAUGACUGCCCUAUGGGUUGUAAACAUCUUUUAUAUGGGAAUAAAAUGUUCCACGUGUGGGAUUUUGUAUGUACCAUAUGAAUAAGGAUCGGCUAACUCCGUGCCAGCAGCCGCGGUAAUACGGAGGAUACGAGCGUUAUCCGGAUUUAUUGGGUUUAAAGGGAGCGUAGGUGGAUUGUUAAGUCAGUUGUGAAAGUUUGGGGCUCAACCGUAAAAUUGCAGUUGAAACUGGCAGUCUUGAGUACAGUAGAGGUGGGCGGAAUUCGUGGUGUAGCGGUGAAAUGCUUAGAUAUCACGAAGAACUCCGAUUGCGAAGGCAGUUCACUGGACUGCAACUGACACUGAGGUUCGAAAGUGUGGGUAUCAAACAGGAUUAGAUACCCGGGUAGUC